GGCGUGCCUAAUACAUGCAAGUCGAGCGAACAGACGAGGAGCUUGCUCCUCUGACGUUAGCGGCGGACGGGUGAGUAACACGUGGAUAACCUACCUAUAAGACUGGGAUAACUUCGGGAAACCGGAGCUAAUACCGGAUAAUAUAUUGAACCGCAUGGUUCAAUAGUGAAAGACGGUUUUGCUGUCACUUAUAGAUGGAUCCGCGCCGCAUUAGCUAGUUGGUAAGGUAACGGCUUACCAAGGCAACGAUGCGUAGCCGACCUGAGAGGGUGAUCGGCCACACUGGAACUGAGACACGGUCCAGACUCCUACGGGAGGCAGCAGUAGGGAAUCUUCCGCAAUGGGCGAAAGCUUGACGGAGCAACGCCGCGUGAGUGAUGAAGGUCUUCGGAUCGUAAAACUCUGUUAUUAGGGAAGAACAAAUGUGUAAGUAACUAUGCACGUCUUGACGGUACCUAAUCAGAAAGCCACGGCUAACUACGUGCCAGCAGCCGCGGUAAUACGUAGGUGGCAAGCGUUAUCCGGAAUUAUUGGGCGUAAAGCGCGCGUAGGCGGUUUUUUAAGUCUGAUGUGAAAGCCCACGGCUCAACCGUGGAGGGUCAUUGGAAACUGGAAAACUUGAGUGCAGAAGAGGAAAGUGGAAUUCCAUGUGUAGCGGUGAAAUGCGCAGAGAUAUGGAGGAACACCAGUGGCGAAGGCGACUUUCUGGUCUGUAACUGACGCUGAUGUGCGAAAGCGUGGGGAUCAAACAGGAUUAGAUACCCUGGUAGUCCACGCCGUAAACGAUGAGUGCUAAGUGUUA
rnacentral:rRNA from 1 species